GAGGGUGUAGCUCAAGUGGUAGAGCACAUGCUUAGCAUGCACAAGGUCCUGGGUUCAAUCCCCAGUACCUCCU
rfam:Camelus ferus unplaced genomic scaffold scaffold436, whole genome shotgun sequence.